rnacentral:rRNA from 1 species
UACGUAGGGUGCGAGCGUUGUCCGGAAUUAUUGGGCGUAAAGGGCUCGUAGGCGGUUUGUCGCGUCGGGAGUGAAAACCUUGGGCUUAACUCAGGGCUUGCUUUCGAUACGGGCAGACUAGAGGUAUGCAGGGGAGAACGGAAUUCCUGGUGUAGCGGUGAAAUGCGCAGAUAUCAGGAGGAACACCGGUGGCGAAGGCGGUUCUCUGGGCAUGAUCUGACGCUGAGGAGCGAAAGCGUGGGGAGCAAACAGG